UUUAUAAAGCAUUGAUUUAUGGGAAUUCUUUCUUAAUUUGCCAUGAAAAUGAUAGAUGCCUGAAACUUCAUUUUUGAUAGUGAGUGAUUCUGUUGCAGUUUAAAAGCAUGCUAAAUGCUUUGUGAUUGAAAUAAUGCGUUUUAAUUCUAAAGAAAUAUUAGCUGUGGCCUCACAGCCAUCUUAUAAAUUUGACAAGGAAGGAAUAUUAUUUAUUAGAGAAAAGCAUGAUAGCUUAUUCAGGAGAAAUGAUGUUUAUUCUCAGCGCUGGUGUCGAUUACGAGGAAAUCUGUUGUUUUAUUAUAAGACAAAAGAUCAGGUAAAUUUC
rnacentral:lncRNA from 1 species